rnacentral:rRNA from 1 species
ACGGAGGGUCCGAGCGUUAAUCGGAAUUAAUGGGCGUAAAGCGUGCGUAGGCGGUUUGUUAAGCAAGAUGUGAAAGCCCAGGGCUCAACCUUGGAACUGCAUUUUGAACUGGCAAACUAGAGUAUUGUAGAGGGUGGUGGAAUUUCCAGUGUAGCGGUGAAAUGCGUAGAGAUUGGAAGGAACAUCAGUGGCGAAGGCGGCCACCUGGACAAAUACUGACGCUGAGGUACGAAAGCGUGGGGAGCGAACAGG